AACGAACGCUGGCGGCAUGCCUAACACAUGCAAGUCGAACGAGACCUUCGGGUCUAGUGGCGCACGGGUGCGUAACGCGUGGGAACCUUCCCUUAGGUUCGGAAUAACUCCCCGAAAGGGGUGCUAAUACCGGAUAAUGUCUUCUGACCAAUGAUUUAUCGCCUUUGGAUGGGCCCGCGUUGGAUUAGCUAGUUGGUAGGGUAAAAGCCUACCAAGGCGAGGAUCCAUAGCUGGUCUGAGAGGAUGAUCAGCCACACUGGGACUGAGACACGGCCCAGACUCCUACGGGAGGCAGCAGUGGGGAAUAUUGGAAAAUGGGGGAAAGCAUGAUCCAGCAAUGCCGCGUGAGUGAUGAAGGCAUUAGGGUUGUAAAGCUCUUUUACCCGGGAUGAUAAUGACAGUACCGGGAGAAUAAGCUCCGGCUAACUCCGUG
rnacentral:rRNA from 1 species